rnacentral:rRNA from 1 species
GUCCUUUUGAUAAUAAUAUAAGGUCUAACCUGCCCACUGAAAUUUUAAAGGGCCGCAGUAUUUUAACUGUGCAAAGGUAGCAUAAUAAUUAGUUUCUUAAUUAGAAGCUGGUAUGAAUGGUUGAACGAGAAAUUUACUGUCUCAAUUUAUAUAUUAAAAUUUUAUUUUUAAGUUAAAAAGCUUAAAUUUAUUUAAAAGACGAGAAGACCCUAUAGAGUUUUAUAAAUUUAAUUAUAUUAUUUUUAGAAUUUUUUUUUACUUAAAUUUAUUUUAUUGGGGUGAUAUAUAAAUUUAAUAAACUUUAUAUUUUUAAUAACAUUAAUUAAUGUUUAAUUGAUCCAUAUAAAUGAUUAAAAGAAAAAAUUACCUUAGGGAUAACAGCGUAAUUUUUUUUUAGAGUUCUAAUCGAAAAAAAAGAUUGCGACCUCGAUGUUGGAUUAAAAUUAAUUUUUGGUGUAGAAGCUAAAAUAUUAGGUCUGUUCGACCUUUAAAAUUUUACAUGAUCUGAGUUUAAACCGGUGUGAGCCAGGUUGGUUUCUAUCUUUAAAUAAAAUAAAUAUUUUAGUACGAAAGGACCAAGUAUUUUUAAAAUUUAAUAUUUUUUGAAUA